AGAAGAAGAAGAAGAAGAAACACCCACAUCAUGCAUACAUACUAGGCUAUUAUUUCCCUUGCCGUGCCCUAGUCGUGGAGGCUACAGUGACAUGCAUUGAGAGUGAGGAAUUAACUAUAGAAAAAGCAUAUGGAUGCACAAAACAAGGUUGGACUUGAAAGGUGUAGCUAAUAUAUACCAUUAUAACAUCAAGUUAAAACAAAAUUAAAUCAAUAAUAAAAGAAAAGAAAAGAAAAACAAAAGCUGAUAAUCAACAUAUCUGUUAAAGAUUAAGAUUAUAGAAGAGCAACAUGAUCCAAUUAUUAUAAUCAAGAUUCAUUAAUUUCAAUCACAAGAUUCCUACGUUCAAAGUCUUGAAAUUGAAGCCCUCUCCGGCCUAGCUAUAAAGAAAGAGUGUAUAGGCUAGGUUUAAUAGGCAAUAAUUGAUGAUAAGAAAGAAGCCACAUGUGUAAGGUACAAAAGAAAAGAAAGUUUCUUUUCCAUUUUCUCUCUUUGGGUCUUUUUAUCCUCUUGUCUCAAAAAUUUUGCAGGAUGCGUGCAUUGUACAACACACACUCACUAGCUAACAUUGAUUUAUUUAUUUUGCAUGGACCACGUUCUUGUAUUUAUUCUUCACUGCAUCCAUCCAACACUUAUUACUUACUAGUACCCGCAUGCUUUCUUUCUCUGGCACUAUACGGCUGCUUGUAUAUGCUUUCUGUUAGAUGAAAAUAACAUGAGAGAGAGCAGCAGCCACUGCGUUUGCUUCAUUUACUCUUGCUCUAUGUUUAUGCACUUAUGGUUGCUAUUCGAAUGAACUUUAACCUGAUGUGGCAUGGUACCAGAACCAGUCUUUAAGGUAUAGUGUCUCGAGUUUAAAUCUAGUUAGAGAAAAAAAAAAAAAA
rnacentral:misc_RNA from 1 species